GCUUAGAGAGGGGUCAAUGUCCUAUCAGCUAGUUGGUGGGGUAAUGGCCUACCAAGGCAAAGACGGGUAGUCGGCCUGAGAGGGUGGUCGGCCACACUGGGACUGAGACACUGCCCAGACUCCUACGGGAGGCUGCAGUCGAGAAUCUUUCGCAAUGCCCGAAAGGGUGACGAAGCGACGCCGCGUGUGGGAAGAAGGCCUUCGGGUUGUAAACCACUGUCGGGAGUUAAGAAAUGUAAGGGUGCUAAUAGUAUCCUUACUUGACUGAGGCUCCGGAGGAAGCCACGGCUAACUCUGUGCCAGCAGCCGCGGUAAUACAGAGGCGGCAAGCGUUGUUCGGAAUUAUUGGGCGUAAAGAGCACGUAGGCGGCCUUGUAAGUCAGUUGUAAAAGCCUUCUGCUUAACAGAAGAACAGCAGCUGAUACUGCAAGGCUAGAGUGCGGAAGGG
rnacentral:rRNA from 1 species